AUCCCGACCUCACCGCCACACCCAGUCGCCUGAGUUAUCGCAUCACUGCCGGCAACCCGCAGAAUUUCUUCUCUAUCAACCCCAAAACAGGGCUCAUCACGACGACGGCGAGGAAACUGGACAGAGAACAACAGGCGGAGCACUUUUUAGAGGUAACAGUUAUAGACGGACCCGUGACCACCCGCCAGUCCACCGUGUGGGUCAUCGUUCACAUCGAGGACCAGAACGACAACCCGCCCACCUUCCCUGA